rnacentral:rRNA from 1 species
GAUGAACGCUGGCGGCGUGCCUAAUACAUGCAAGUCGAGCGAACAGACGAGGAGCUUGCUCCUCUGACGUUAGCGGCGGACGGGUGAGUAACACGUGGAUAACCUACCUAUAAGACUGGGAUAACUUCGGGAAACCGGAGCUAAUACCGGAUAAUAUAUUGAGCCGCAUGGUUCAAUAGUGAAAGACGGUUUUGCUGUCACUUAUAGAUGGAUCCGCGCCGCAUUAGCUAGUUGGUAAGGUAACGGCUUACCAAGGCAACGAUGCGUAGCCGACCUGAGAGGGUGAUCGGCCACACUGGAACUGAGACACGGUCCAGACUCCUACGGGAGGCAGCAGUAGGGAAUCUUCCGCAAUGGGCGAAAGCCUGACGGAGCAACGCCGCGUGAGUGAUGAAGGUCUUCGGAUCGUAAAACUCUGUUAUUAGGGAAGAACAAAUGUGUAAGUAAUUAUGCACGUCUUGACGGUACCUAAUCAGAAAGCCACGGCUAACUACGUG